GAAGCGUCUGGAAAGGCGCGCGAUACAGGGUGACAGCCCCGUACACAAAAGCGCAUGUGCUGUGAGCUCGAUGAGUAGGGCGGGACACGUGGUAUCCUGUCUGAAUAUGGGGGGACCAUCCUCCAAGGCUAAAUACUCCUGACUGACCGAUAGUGAACCAGUACCGUGAGGGAAAGGCGAAAAGAACCCCGGCGAGGGGAGUGAAAAAGAACCUGAAACCGUGUACGUACAAGCAGUGGGAGCACCCUUUGGGGUGUGACUGCGUACCUUUUGUAUAAUGGGUCAGCGACUUAUAUUCUGUAGCAAGGUUAACCGUAUAGGGGAGCCGUAGGGAAACCGAGUCUUAACCGGGCGUUAAGUUGCAGGGUAUAGACCCGAAACCCGGUGAUCUAGCCAUGGGCAGGUUGAAGGUUGGGUAACACUAACUGGAGGACCGAACCGACUAAUGUUGAAAAAUUAGCGGAUGACCUGUGGCUGGGGGUGAAAGGCCAAUCAAACCGGGAGAUAGCUGGUUCUCCCCGAAAGCUAUUUAGGUAGCGCCUCGUGAAUUCAUCUCCGGGGGUAGAGCACUGUUUCGGCUAGGGGGCCAUCCCGGCUUACCAACCCGAUGCAAACUGCGAAUACCGGAGAAUGUUAUCACGGGAGACACACGGCGGGUGCUAACGUCCGUCGUGAAGAGGGAAACAACCCAGACCGCCAGCUAAGGUCCCAAAGUCAUGGUUAAGUGGGAAACGAUGUGGGAAGGCCCAGACAGCCAGGAUGUUGGCUUAGAAGCAGCCAUCAUUUAAAGAAAGCGUAAUAGCUCACUGGUCGAGUCGGCCUGCGCGGAAGAUGUAACGGGGCUAAACCAUGCACCGAAGCUGCGGCAGCGACGCUGAUGCGUUGUUGGGUAGGGGAGCGUUCUGUAAGCCUGUGAAGGUGGCCUGUGAGGGUUGCUGGAGGUAUCAGAAGUGCGAAUGCUGACAUAAGUAACGAUAAAGCGGGUGAAAAGCCCGCUCGCCGGAAGACCAAGGGUUCCUGUCCAACGUUAAUCGGGGCAGGGUGAGUCGACCCCUAAGGCGAGGCCGAAAGGCGUAGUCGAUGGGAAACGGGUUAAUAUUCCCGUACUUGGUGUUACUGCGAAGGGGGGACGGAGAAGGCUAUGUUGGCCGGGCGACGGUUGUCCCGGUUUAAGCGUGUAGGUGUGUGUUCCAGGUAAAUCCGGUUCACUUUAACACUGAGGCGUGACGACGAGGCACUACGGUGCUGAAGCAACAAAUGCCCUGCUUCCAGGAAAAGCCUCUAAGCAUCAGGUAACAUCAAAUCGUACCCCAAACCGACACAGGUGGUCAGGUAGAGAAUACCAAGGCGCUUGAGAGAACUCGGGUGAAGGAACUAGGCAAAAUGGUGCCGUAACUUCGGGAGAAGGCACGCUGACACGUAGGUGAAGUGAUUUACUCAUGGAGCUGAAGUCAGUCGAAGAUACCAGCUGGCUGCAACUGUUUAUUAAAAACACAGCACUGUGCAAACACGAAAGUGGACGUAUACGGUGUGACGCCUGCCCGGUGCCGGAAGGUUAAUUGAUGGGGUCAGCGCAAGCGAAGCUCCUGAUCGAAGCCCCGGUAAACGGCGGCCGUAACUAUAACGGUCCUAAGGUAGCGAAAUUCCUUGUCGGGUAAGUUCCGACCUGCACGAAUGGCGUAAUGAUGGCCAGGCUGUCUCCACCCGAGACUCAGUGAAAUUGAACUCGCUGUGAAGAUGCAGUGUACCCGCGGCAAGACGGAAAGACCCCGUGAACCUUUACUAUAGCUUGACACUGAACAUUGAGCCUUGAUGUGUAGGAUAGGUGGGAGGCUUUGAAGUGUGGACGCCAGUCUGCAUGGAGCCGACCUUGAAAUACCACCCUUUAAUGUUUGAUGUUCUAACGUGGACCCGUUA
rnacentral:rRNA from 1 species